rnacentral:lncRNA from 1 species
GUACUCAUCACCUCCUCCUCCCAAGAAGCCCUAUUAUUAUCACUCUCCUCCACCACCUUCACCUCCUCCACCUAAGCCAUACUACUAUCAUUCACCACCACCACCUUCACCUCCUCCACCCAAGCCAUACUACUAUCACUCACCACCACCACCUUCACCUCCUCCACCUAAACCAUACUACUAUCACUCACCACCACCACCUUCACCUCCUCCACCUAAACCAUACUACUAUCACUCACCACCACCACCUUCACCUCCUCCACCUAAACCAUACUACUAUCACUCACCACCACCACCUUCACCUCCUCCACCUAAGUCAUAUUACUAUCACUCACCACCACCACCACCCAAAAAGAAGCCAUACUACUACCAUUCUCCCCCACCACCUUCACCACCUCCUCCUAAGCCAUACUACUAUCACUCUCCCCCACCGCCUUCACCUCCUCCACCUACGCCAUACUACUAUCAUUCUCCCCCACCACCCUCACCACCUCCACCUAAGCCAUACUACUACCAUUCACCACCACCCCCACCGAAGAAGAAGCCUUACUACUACCACUCUCCACCACCAC